rnacentral:rRNA from 1 species
ACUCCUACGGGAGGCAGCAGUGGGGAAUUUUGCGCAAUGGGCGAAAGCCUGACGCAGCAACGCCGCGUGAGUGAUGAAGGCUUUCGGGUCGUAAAGCUCUGUCGAGGGGAAAGAAGUGUAUUGUGGCUAAUAUCCACGAUACUUGACGGUACCCCUAAAGGAAGCACCGGCUAACUCCGUGCCAGCAGCCGCGGUAAUACGGGGGGUGCAAGCGUUGUUCGGAAUUAUUGGGCGUAAAGAGCGUGUAGGCGGUUUGUUUAGUCUGAUGUGAAAGCCCUGGGCUCAACCCAGGAAGUGCAUUGGAUACUGGCAGACUUGAAUACGGGAGAGGGUAGUGGAAUUCCUAGUGUAGGAGUGAAAUCCGUAGAUAUUAGGAGGAACACCGGUGGCGAAGGCGGCUGCCUGGACCGAUAUUGACGCUGAGACGCGAAAGCGUGGGUAGCAAACAGGAUUAGAUACCCUGGUAGUCCACGCCGUAAACGAUGAGAACUAGGUGUCGCGGGUA